rnacentral:lncRNA from 1 species
AUUCAUAGUUUCUGGUAUUUACAUGUGAUCACUGGGUGCUGCAUGCUGUUUGUUAUUGAGCUUUUCUGUGUUGACUCAAAAUGUGACUGGAUUGAGUCUUGCCAAAAGGCCAGGAAGAAAAUAUGGAUCGCCGUGAUCGACAUCAUCAAGUCUUAUAAUUUACUUUUCUGAUCGCUCAAUUGUGUGUCUUGACCUGAAACCCAAACUUAAUCAGCCAGUAGCCUCACUCGCCAAGAUGACAUCAUGCUCUGUUCAGUUAGAUUCCCCUCAGUUUCCUCACGCACAAUACCAGAUAUGAUCUUAAUCAUCUUGCCUUUCUGUCCACAAUGAGGGGUUUUAAACGAAGUGUACACAGCAUCAAAUUGAAUUACGGCUCCAUGUCAAAAAACUGUUUCACCCCCCUCCUGCGAGCGCCGGAGCCAAAAGCUGACACUGUGAUUGUCCUUGUCCGAUUAGGCCGAUCAAUGAGACUGAACAGAGGGGAAAGGAAGAGGAGGAGGAGGAGUAGAAGGAGAAGUGGGGAUGUGUCUGUGUGUUGAGGGAGGGGGGCAGCUCCUCCCAUAAUUAAGUUAGCGUGCUGCGCUGGAGGUCCAUGUUUACAGGGCAGGCGAGGGAGUUUCCUUCACUCGGUGGACAGCUCUGAGCGCGGAGACGGCAGCAGCGAGCACUCUCUUCUCUCUCUGGUUAUUUCUGCAAAUCAUCCCUCGCUGCGCUGCGACUGGCGAACUGCACACACAGGCUGAUUCAGGACGAGUCGGAGGGGGGAAGCAGCAACUAGAGCAGCUGCAGUGGCACCUGCCUAACCCUCCACCACCCUCCCUCCCUGCCCAGCCCAGGACCUCUUUUCUCCUGCCACCGCCUCCAUCACCGCUGCCAUCAUGUGCGACUGUUUCCAUCUGGCCUUCCCCAACUGGCACGCCGCCUCCUCAGGGACCGGACCUGGUCGAAGGCUGAGAGGACCAGAGCCCGGUGCAGAGGACGAUUCAAUAUGUGACGAGCCAUCUCAGUUCACAGAGGGAGAGAGACCACGCCCCCAGGGAUCGUCCCCCGUCGAGGAGUUUCCUGAAAUUGAAAAAUACAGCGAGAGUGAGGUACAGAGCACCAACACUGACAGAACAAACCAAGUUAAGACAAUAAAUCAGAGAACCUGUUUACAUGCAAUUUCACGCCCAAGAAAUGUGGUUUCUUGAUCUUUCACCUGAACUGGAGAAACGGGGCUUAUUAUGACAUUUUAGAAAUCAGUUUAUCACAGAGAGCAGUCUUUAACACGGUUACUUAAAUGCUAACAAACUGGCUCAUUCAACAGUCUAUUUUGUUUAGGCCGUAGACAGAUGACAAAUGAAGUUAGAAAAUAUCUUGUGACCAGGAGAAGCAAGCUCAUGUAUUUGGAGCUGAGCACAUCCUUGAAUCAAAGACUGCUCCACAUGAAGCUCUCGUACACAAAAUCUACUCAAUGGUAAGAAAGUUUUAGAAAUAAUCAUUAUUGGAUUUCACAAAAGCUACUUUAAAAAUCAGAUUAAAGUGUCUAAUACCCUAAAAACUGUUUCAUUAGAUGUUCUGCUAAUUACUUUCUAUAGGCCUCACCUGCAGGGGAUGAUUAAAUUGCUGUGAAGUCGUAGAUACACUGUGAAAAUGCUGACAAUGGCUGCUAGUCUCAAACUUUUUUUUUUUCUGUCAGCAUUUUUAAACUAAAUAUUUAAUGCUCUUUUUUUCUUUACUUUCAACCUUGAAGUAACCACACCACGAAACAGUACCACUAAUAGCCUGCUGUUGUACAAAAUAUAGUAAGCACCAAUGGGAACUUUUUUUUAAAUAUGUUGUUCCCUCAAAAUGCUUUAUUUAUUCCCAAAAAUUAUCACCAUCCAUUAUUUAGUUUCCCCUCUACACUUUUACCAUGGACAGCUUGCUUUUGAUCUCAAAUUAUUUUCUUUGUAAUGAAUAUGUAUUUCUGCCCUCAAAGAGAGAUUUUAGGGAAUGGAGCUCAAUGGUAAGACUUAUACUAAGUGUACUGAAUGUAAAUAUUACUAAUUUAAGGGAAUGAUGUUACGUAAGAUCAUAUAUUUUGUUUACUGUUGUACAUUGCAGACUCCCAUGUAUGAAUGUAUGUACAUACAGUGUGUUGCCCUUCAUACAAGCCUGUUGAUGAAAUAUCUCCUGUCACCUUUUCUGUUUGCAGAAGCUUUGAGUGCAACAAUAAUCUUUUUUGUUUCAUAAGAAUUCAAAGAUUUUUUUUUUUCAUUUUCCUUUUAGUGUGAAGCAGAGCAUGACCCACACCACAAAAGUGGGAGUGGAAAGAAAACUA